rnacentral:rRNA from 1 species
UACGAAGGGGGCUAGCGUUGCUCGGAAUCACUGGGCGUAAAGCGCGCGUAGGUGGCCAUGUAAGUCCGCUGUGAAAGUCGAAGGCUCAACCUUCGAAAGCCGGUGGAUACUGCAUGGCUAGAGUACGGAAGAGGCGAGUGGAAUUCCUGGUGUAGCGGUGGAAUGCGCAGAUAUCAGGAGGAACACCAAUAGCGAAGGCAGCUCGCUGGGACGUUACUGACACUGAGGCGCGAAAGCGUGGGGAGCGAACAGG